AGAACGAACGCUGGCGGCAGGCUUAACACAUGCAAGUCGAGCGCCUCGCAAGAGGAGCGGCAGACGGGUGAGUAACACGUGGGAAUCUACCCAUCCUUACGGAACAACUCCGGGAAACUGGAGCUAAAUACCGUAUACGCCCUUCGGGGGAAAGAUUUAUCGAGGAUGGAUGAGCCCGCGUUGGAUUAGCUAGUUGGUGGGGUAAAGGCCUACCAAGGCGACGAUCCAUAGCUGGUCUGAGAGGAUGAUCAGCCACAUUGGGACUGAGACACGGCCCAAACUCCUACGGGAGGCAGCAGUGGGGAAUAUUGGACAAUGGGCGCAAGCCUGAUCCAGCCAUGCCGCGUGAGUGAUGAAGGCCCUAGGGUUGUAAAGCUCUUUCACCGGAGAAGAUAAUGACGGUAUCCGGAGAAGAAGCCCCGGCUAACUUCGUGCCAGCAGCCGC
rnacentral:rRNA from 1 species